AGGGAAAGGUGAAAAGCAACCAUGCAGAAUGGGUUGAAACAGCAGUGAAAGCGCUACCGGGAUAAGGGCUGGGGAUUGCUUGUGUCGCUUGCGCGUGCUUCAGUGCUGUGCUCGCGGACGGCAUGCAUCGAUUAGGAUGGGGAGAACAGGGCCAUCGGGAAUUCGGCUGGAUCCGUCCAGUGUUGUAGCCCGGAGGUCAAUGGAGCCUCUUCUGACCGUUGAGUGUCUUGCGAUUGUCAGCCGCCCGUCUUGAAACACGGACCAAGGAGUGCACCUUGCAUGCGAGUCGAAGGGACUGUAAUCCCAAAGGCGAAGCGAAAGCGAAGGCUGCGAACCCUCACGGCGUCGGCAGCACCCGCCUUGUGCGAGGUAGAGCAUGUAGGGUGCGACCCGAAAGAUGGUGAACUAUGCCCGGGUAAGGUGAAGCCAGUGGAAACGCUGGUGGAGGCCUGUAGCGGUUCUGACGUGCAGAUCGAUCGUGUAACCUGGGUAUAGGGGCGAAAGACCUAUCGAACCGUCUAAUGGCUGGUUCCCCCCGAAGUUUCCCUCAGGAUAGCUGUGUCCCUAUUGUCAGUUGCACGCGGUAAAGCGAAUGAUUAGGUGUCUCGGGGACGUUAUUGUCCUCGGCUCAUUCUCAAACUGUGAAUUGUGUGCGCACCGCGCGUGACCUAACGGCACGCCGGGCGAAUGACAGGACGCAAGUGGGCUGGUUUUGGUAAG
rnacentral:rRNA from 1 species